rnacentral:ncRNA from 2 species
AUCGUUCAAUUUGCUUAAAGCAAAUCGGAAGUAGGUUUAAACCGAAGGAACGCGGA